AGUAGGUAGGUGUCCUGUGCACGGAAGGUUUUGGUCCUUCAGGGCGCUUGUCAUGAGGCGACCUGCUU
rnacentral:tRNA from 1 species